CGAACGCUUUUCGAACGAGUUUUCUUUGCAGAGCGUAUCACUCCGCCGUCCAUAGCAACGCCGUUGCUAAGGACAACAUUUUCGCGGGCGGCGGGCUGAAAUUUCAUCCGAGUUGUUGACAGCCGAUUACAUCACCAGUUUCGGCCUCUGCGUCAAGAUGGCGAUCAUCCUAGGCUUCACAGACUAGAUUGGUAAAAGCCACGCCCAGUGGGAUUGUCACCAGCUAGCAGGAUACCAGGAUGUUAUAUUGUAUAUUUAGCUUGAUUAUGGAUAUAUAUAUAAGAUGUAUUAUGUAUUGAGAUCUUAAUUUCCAUCUAUUCUGUUUAUUGUAAUCUUAAUACAAUUUGGGAUCAUAUUUAAUAGUCGAUUCAGCAUUCAAUGUCUACUGUAACUUUUGAGCAUGUGUUAAGUAAUAUAUGUACUGUAAAAGAUGUAUACAUGUAAUGAUCCCAGGUAUUUGAUAUCCCAGGCCACAACAAAAUGUACUACUUUGUUUUUUGUUUGGUAAUGAGAUAAAGGUUGAAGCAACGUUA